ACGGAGGAUGCGAGCGUUAUCCGGAUUUAUUGGGUUUAAAGGGUGCGUAGGCGGCCUGUUAAGUCAGCGGUGAAAUCUAGGAGCUUAACUCCUAAAUUGCCAUUGAUACUGGCGGGCUUGAGUGUAGAUGAGGUAGGCGGAAUGCGUGGUGUAGCGGUGGAAUGCAUAGAUAUCACGCAGAACUCCGAUUGCGAAGGCAGCUUACUAAGGUACAACUGACGCUGAAGCACGAAAGCGUGGGUAUCAAACAGG
rnacentral:rRNA from 1 species